UACGAAGGGGGCUAGCGUUGCUCGGAAUCACUGGGCGUAAAGCGCACGUAGGCGGACUCUUAAGUCGGUGGUGAAAUCCUGGAGCUCAACUCCAGAACUGCCUUCGAUACUGAGAGUCUCGAGUCCGGGAGAGGUGAGUGGGACUGCGAGUGUAGAGGUGAAAUUCGUAGAUAUUCGCAAGAACACCAGUGGCGAAGGCGGCUCACUGGCCCGGUACUGACGCUGAGGUGCGAAAGCGUGGGGAGCAAACAGG
rnacentral:rRNA from 1 species